CCCUUAGAUGUUCUGGGCUGCACGCGCGCUACACUGAUACCUUCAGCGAGUCCAGCACCUUGCCUGGGAAGGUGGGGUAACCUCUGGAAAGUGUAUCGUGAUGGGGAUAGAUUAUUGUAAUUAUUAAUCUUCAACGAGGAAUUCCUAGUAAGCAUGUGUCAUCAGCCCGUGCUGAUUACGUCCCUGCCCUUUGUACACACCGCCCGUCGCACCUACCGAUUGGAUGGUCCGGUGAAGCCUCGGGAUUGUGGUUCUUGCCGCUUUAUUGUGGCGUGACCGCGAGAACUUGUCUAAACCUUAUCAUCUAGAGGAAGGUGAAGUCGUAACA
rnacentral:rRNA from 1 species